UCUAGCCAAAGGAGGCGCGGCGCACAGCUCAGUAGCACGUGGCUAACCUGCCCUUGGGAUAGGAACAACCCCGGGAAACUGGGGCUAAUUCCCAAUAGGUGAAGAACUCUGGAAUGAGUCUUCGCCAGAAAGGACUCCUACACUAUGCUUGUAGGUUUCGCCCAAGGAUGGGGCCGCGACCGAUCAGGUUGUUGGUGAGGUAAUGGCUCACCAAGCCUUUUACCGGUGCGGGCCGUGGGAGCGGAAGCCCGGAGAUGGGCACUGAGACAAGGGCCCAGGCCCUACGGGGCGCAGCAGUCGCGAAAACUUUGCAAUAAGCGCAAGCUUGACAGGGCUAUCCCGAGUGCCAUCCGCUGAGGAAGGCUUUUACCCAGUCUAGAACGCUGGGGGAAUAAGGAGAGGGCAAGUCUGGUGUCAGCCGCCGCGGUAAUACCAGCUCUCUGAGUGGUGUGGAUGUUUAUUGGGCCUAAAGCAUCCGUAGCUGGCUAGGUUAGUCCCCUGUUAAAUCCACCGAAUUAAUCGUUGGAUUGCGGGGGAUACUGCUUGGCUAGGGGACGAGAGAGGCAGACGGUUUUUUCGGGGUAGGGGUGAAAUCCUAUAAUCCCGGGAAGACCACCAGUGGCGAAGGCUGUCUGCUAGAACGCGCCCGACGGUGAGGGAUGAAAGCUGGGGGAGCGAACCGGAUUAGAUACCCGGGUAGUCCCAGCUGUAAACGAUGCAGGCUAGGUGUUUGGACGGCCACGUGCCGUUCUAGUGCCGCAGGGAAGCUGUUAAGCCUGCCGCCUGGGGAGUACGAUCGCAAGAUCGAAACUUAA
rnacentral:rRNA from 1 species